rnacentral:rRNA from 1 species
UACGUAGGGCGCGAGCGUUGUCCGGAUUUAUUGGGCGUAAAGAGCUCGUAGGCGGCUUGUCGCGUCGAAUGUGAAAUCUCAGGGCUCAACUCUGACAUUGCAUUCGAUACGGGCAGGCUAGAGUUCGGUAGGGGAGACUGGAAUUCCUGGUGUAGCGGUGAAAUGCGUAGAUAUCGAGAGGAACACCUGCGGCGAAGGCGGGUUGCUGGGCUGAUACUGACGCUGAGGCGCGAAAGCCAGGGGAGCGAACGGG